CCUACGGGUGGCUGCAGUGAGGAAUAUUGGUCAAUGGGCGGAACUCUGAACCAGCCAAGUAGCGUGAGGGAAUAAGGCCCUAUGGGUUGUAAACUUCUUUUGUCCGGGGAUAAACUCAGUCACGUGUCCCUUCUCGCAGGUUACCCAUAAAUAAAGCACCGGCUAUCUCGGUGCCAGCAGCCGCGGUAAUAGGGAGGUUGCGACCGUAAUCCGGAUUUUUUGGUUUUAAAGGCUGCGUAGGCGGGCCUUUACGGCAUCGGUAAAUAUUCGGGGCUAAACCCGGUCCUGCAGUUGAAACGGGGGGGCUUGAGUGGGCGAGAAGUAGGCGGAAUGCGUGGUGUAGCGGUGAAAUGCAUAGAUAUCACGAAGAACCCCGAUUGCGAAGGCAGCCUUCCGUAGCCUUACUGACGCUGAGGCACGAAGGUGCGGGGAUCGAACAGGAUUAGAUACCCGAGUAGUC
rnacentral:rRNA from 1 species